rnacentral:rRNA from 1 species
AGUGAACGCUGGCGGUAGGCCUAACACAUGCAAGUCGAACGGCAGCACAGUAAGAGCUUGCUCUUACGGGUGGCGAGUGGCGGACGGGGGAGGAAUACAUCGGAAUCUACUUUUUCGUGGGGGCUAACGUAGGGAAACUUACGCUAAUACCGCAUACGACCUACGGGUGGAAGCAGGGGAUCUUCGGACCUUGCGCGAUUGAAUGAGCCGAUGUCGGAUUAGCUAGUUGGUGGGGUAAAGGCCCACCAAGGCGACGAUCCGUAGCUGGUCUGAGAGGAUGAUCAGCCACACUGGAACUGAGACACGGUCCAGACUCCUACGGGAGGCAGCAGUGGGGAAUAUUGGACAAUGGGCGCAAGCCUGAUCCAGCCAUACCGCGUGGGUGAAGAAGGCCUUCGGGUUGUAAAGCCCUUUUGUUGGGAAAGAAAAGCAGCAGGUUAAUACCCCGCUGUUUUGACGGUACCAAAAGAAUAAGCACCGGCUAACUUCGUG